GGUGGCUCAGUGGUAGAGCAUGUGCCUGGCAUGCAAGAGGCACUGGGUUCAAUUCCCAACACCA
rnacentral:tRNA from 1 species